UCCCUUUCUUGACAUUUAAUAGCAUAUUGGUUUGGGCUACAAUGGUAUGGAGGAUCAAACCUGCAGAGAUUAAAGAUGCAUUAAUAAUUUGUUGAAAAAAUGUAAUAAAAAUAAGUAAAGAAAUAAAUUAUUUGAUUAAAACAAAUAUAGUUAAUUUGUAAUAAAAUGUAAUCCUGAAUUAAUUUUUUAUUAUCUUCAUGUAUUAUGUUCAGUACUUAUUUUUUAUUCUUUAACUUUUAUUUACAUAUUCUUUCAUUUAUUAAUUUAAUAUAUGCAUUUUUUAUUGUUAAAUGUAUUUAUUCAUGCAUUUUUAUUUUUUUAUAAUUUAUUCCCACAUGUAUUUAUUAUUAUUAAUUACAUCCAAGAUUUUUUUUUUAAUUCCAUCAGGUGCGUGAUUUCACAUAGAGCAGCUGUUACUACACAGAGCCGUUGUUAACUGACAAGCUGCCCAAAUAAACGCUGAUAAUGAACGUGGAUUUGCGCAGCUUGUCCGUUUACAACGGCUCCGUGUAGUAACAGCUGCUGAAUCUAUUUUUUUAAUCACUAUGAUACACCUAUAAUAAUUUUAGAUUCUGACUAUUUUAGACUGGUUUGGGUAGGUACCGCUGCAGAGUAGCCCAGUACCUGCGUGAUUUGUCAUAGACAUAAACAGAGAAAAGUAGCUCCGGCUUCAAUGUUCUUCCACAAGACGGACGCAGUUCUGUUUACUAACCACUAGAGCACCAAAAGUUACAGACUGCAGAUUUAAUUGCUGUCAUUCGUUCUCGAAAUAGAAAGUGAUCAAAACAUUUAUACAGACCACAACCUUACAACAAAGACUAUACAGUUUAGCUCUUCUGAGUAUUGAGAAUGCCUAUGGUUGUUAAAGCUGCAGUGAAAAAAAGUAUUCUGUAAAGUUUUGUUAGUUUAUUUCUGGUUGUCAGUUGAUGAAAUGUAAAAAAAAAAAAAAUAAGUGCACUUUUUUUACAAUGUGGAAUUUUUCCCUCUUGCCUCUGUAUACACAAAUCCGCCGCAAACUCUAUGGGCGCCGCCAUCUUGCCUGCCGCCAUUACUGCGUGCCUGCGAGGUGUGACGGUGUGACACUUGCCGGUGCCCUCUAAUGACAUUUCAAUGAAAGCGGAUCCUGCUCAUUAAAGAAAAUGUCUGGUGAAAGGGAAAAUUGGGUAGAUGAUGUCAGGCAGUGGCCAAAACUUACUGAUAAAGCAAUCUCAACAAUGGACUCGUUUCCUUCCUUUUUGGUGUCUCCUGUACUUUCUGUUUGGAGGUCAUUGCAUGUGUCUGAUUGAGCAACUGUCAUUAUGCAUUUCUGUUUGCAGUGCUUUGCUUAAAUUUUGAACCCUUAGCAACAAUAAAA
ensembl:lncRNA